GUUCUAUGAUGAUAAUAAACUUGCCAGUUCUGCUACUGAACAUUAUUUUGUUGAAAGAAACAAGUUCUGAAUACCAAUGCUCUGAAUA